AUGAUCCAGAGUACCACGGGACACGUGAAACCCUGUGGGAAGCAGGAGGGACCACCCUCCAAGGCUAAAUACUACCUAGUGACCGAUAGCGUAUAGUACCGUGAGGGAAAGGUGAAAAGAACCCCGGGAGGGGAGUGAAAUAGAACCUGAAACCCUGCACUUACAAGCUGUGGAAGCACAUUUCUUGUGUGACCGCGUACUUUUUGUAGAACGGGCCAACGAGUUACGUUAAGUAGCAAGGUUAAGCACUUAAGGUGUGGAGCCGUAGCGAAAGCGAGUUUUAACUGAGCGUUCAGUUACUUGACGUAGACCCGAAACCGGGCGACCUACCCAUGAGCAGGAUGAAGCGAAAGUAAAAUUUCGUGGAGGUCCGAACCCACGAGCGUUGAAAAGCUCGGGGAUGACUUGUGGGUAGCGGUGAAAUUCCAAUCGAGCCCGGAGAUAGCUGGUUCUCCCCGAAAUAGCUUUAGGGCUAGCCUCAAGGUGAGAGAUACGGAGGUAGAGCACUGAAUGUCCUAGGGGGUAUUGCACCUACCGAAGACUAUCAAACUCCGAAUGCCGUCAUCUUAUACUUGGGAGUCAGACUGUGGGUGAUAAGAUUCAUAGUCGAAAGGGCAACAGCCCAGAUCGUCAGCUAAGGUCCCUAAAUGUAAGUUAAGUGGUAAAGGAUGUGGGAUUGCACAGACAACCAGGAUGUUGGCUUAGAAGCAGCCACUCAUUCAAAGAGUGCGUAAUAGCUCACUGGUCGAGUGAUCCUGCGCCGAAGAUUUCCGGGGCUAAAACUUACUACCGAAGCUACGGCAUCAGUAAUGAUGGGUAGGGGAGCUUCCCAUACGGGUUGAAGCAUGACCGUAAGGACAUGUGGACAGUAUGGGAGUGAGAAUGUUGGCAUGAGUAGCGAGAUGUGGGUGAGAAUCCCACAGGCCGUAAACCCAAGGUUUCCAGGGGAAGGUUCGUCCGCCCUGGGUUAGUCGGGACCUAAGCUGAGGCCGAAAGGCGUAGGUGAUGGACAACAGGUUGAUAUUCCUGUACUACCGAUAACCGUUUGAGAGAAGGGAUGACACAGUAGGAUAAGCUAAGCACACUGUUGGUUAUGUGUGCCCAAGCAUUGAGGCAGUCAAAGUAGGCAAAUCCGCUUUGAUAAUGCUGGGAUGUGAUGGGGAGCGAAAUUUAGUAGCGAAGUAGCUGAUUUCACACUGUCAAGAAAAGUCUCUAUCGAGGUUAAAGGUACCCGUACCGCAAACCGACACAGGUGGGUGAGGAGAGUAUCCUAAGGCCAGCGAGAGAACUGUUGUUAAGGAACUCGGCAAAAUGACCCCGUAACUUAGGGAUAAGGGGUGCCACCAUCAGGUGGCCGCAGAGAAUAGGCCCAAGCGACUGUUUACCAAAAACAUAGGUUUCUGCUAAGUCGCAAGACGAUGUAUAGGAGCUGACGCCUGCCCGGUGCUGGAAGGUUAAGGGGAUCUGUUAGAGCAAUCGAAGCAGUGAACUUAAGCCCCAGUAAACGGCGGCCGUAACUAUAACGGUCCUAAGGUAGCGAAAUUCCUUGUCGGGUAAGUUCCGACCCGCACGAAAGGCGUAACGAUUUGGGCACUGUCUCAACAACAGACUCGGUGAAAUUGUAAUUCCGGUGAAGAUGCCGGAUACCUGCGACAGGACGGAAAGACCCCAUGGAGCUUUACUGUAGCUUGACAUUGGGUCUUGGUACUACAUGUACAGGAUAGGUGGGAGGCUUUGAAACCAGGACGCCAGUUUUGGCGGAGCCAUCCUUGGGAUACCACCCUUGUAGUACUGGGACUCUAACCAUAGGCCAUGAAUCUGGUCUUGGGACACUGUCAGGUGGGCAGUUUGACUGGGGCGGUCGCCUCCCAAAAGGUAACGGAGGCGCUCAAAGGUUCUCUCAGUACGGUCGGAAAUCGUACGUAGAGUGUAAAGGCAAAAGAGAGCUUGAUUGCAAGACAUACAGGUCGAGCAAGGAUGAAAAUCGGACUUAGUGAUCCGGUGGUUCUGCGUGGAAGGGCCAUCGCUCAACGGAUAAAAGCUACCCUGGGGAUAACAGGCUUAUCUCCCCCAAGAGUCCACAUCGACGGGGAGGUUUGGCACCUCGAUGUCGGCUCAUCACAUCCUGGGGCUGUAGUAGGUCCCAAGGGUUGGGCUGUUCGCCCAUUAAAGUGGUACGCGAGCUGGGUUCAGAACGUCGUGAGACAGUUCGGUCCCUAUCCGUCGCAGGCGUAGGAAAUUUGAGAAGACCUGUCCUUAGUACGAGAGGACCGGGAUGGACGUACCUCUGGUGUACCAGUUGUCCUGCCAAGGGCAUGGCUGGGUAGCUAUGUACGGAAUGGAUAAGCGCUGAAAGCAUCUAAGCGCGAAGCCAACUUCAAGAUAAGAUUUCCCACCGCAAGGGUAAGACCCCAGAAAGACUAUCUGGUUGA
rnacentral:rRNA from 1 species